AGAAGCUUGUGUAUUCUUAUGGAGCUUGUGCGUUCAUUUAAUAAAUUUGUGUUAUAUCUUCUUUCUUAAACUUUUAGCAGUAGUGUGUGUAAAUUGUAGAACUUUUUUGAAUCUUUGUGCACUAUUUGUAGUAAUAAUAAUGUGAUGAGAUGCCGUGGCGCCGUUCUACUAUGUAUGGCUUUAAUAACAGCCGUAUUUCAACGAAAACGGAUAAUCCGGAAAUAGUUUACCAUAAUUUUCCCAAGGAAAAACAUUAGGUUUGCCUCCACGAAAACUUCUUAAAACAACUGCUGUGCCAUCAUUAUUUCUUCCAAACAAACCACAGGAUGUAACAAGUUUACGGACACAAAG